CUAUUUCUUCUUGUUCCCUGUCAGAGCAUCAAAGGGGUGGUGUGUCUCAUGCCGUUGCUUUGCAGCCAUCUGAACCUAUUCCCUGUGCUCUGUAGAUGAACCUGUAUACCCAAACCCGUUACCCUAAUGCCUGUGUCUGCUCAUUUGAUCUUCAACCUGAUUGUUUGGACUUUUGUCUCCUGCCUCCAUUUUGAAGUUUUUUGUCUGUUUUGCAUUGCCUCUCUGGUUUUGACCCUUGCCUCCUUCAUGGUCCUGUAAGCCUGGAACCUUAUUUUUGUAAAGACGUCAUUGAACUGUUCUCUCUUUAUUCCAGUCCCUGUUGCCCCACUCGGACCAGCAGUGAUAACUAGUUCUGACAUUUUAGAAAAAGAAACAACAAAAACAAACAAUAAGAAAGAUUAUAUGAAAGCAAAGGAAAUUAUCAAAAACCAUUAUUUUUCUGAAACAGUUUGUCAGCAUUGUGGUAGAUUUGAUAUAAACAUACUGUUACCUCUGUAGCCUGUCAGUGUGGUUUUCCUGAGAACAACCUCUGCAAAAUGACAUCAGCAUGUAAAAGUUGUCACGUAGUCAAACACAAGUGUCGUCCUUAAAGGACUGUGGGACAUUCACAUUAUUCUGCUUCAUCAUGGCUGGACACCUGCUGUUAGUCGUCCUCAUGUAUUCUUGUUCUGAGAUGAAAGCACAAGUUCUUCUUCCACCUAAACUGACGGUGAAUCCAUCGGUGAUCACAGACACAGACUCAGUCACAUUGGACUGUCAGCCUCCACCAUCUGUUUCUGUGUCUCAGUGUUAUUUCAGCACUGUAAGAGUAAGACCGGCCAUAAGCUUCUCUUGUCUGCAGACACUGACAGGAACUGAACUGCUCAAGAUGUCAAAUCAAAGUUCACCUGCUGAGGUUGAAGUGAAAUGCUCUUACCUUAAGGUGUCUCAAUCUCCUGAGAGUGAAACAACGUCCAUCACCAUCCGAACAUCUCUUCCACCUAAACUGACAGUGAAUCCACCAGUGAUCAACGAGAGAGACUCAGUCACAUUGAACUGUCAGACUCCACCAUCCUUUUCUGUGACUCAGUGUCAUUUCUACAUUUCAAGUGGAGGAACUGUCAGAGACUCCUCUUGUCUGCAGACACUGACAGGAACUGAACUGCUGAAGACGUCACCUCAGAGUUCACCUUCUGAGGUUGAAGUGAUGUGUUUUUAUACGGUAAAGCUUGGAGAAAAAGAUUCUCCAUCUCCAUACAGUGGCACUUCCCGCAUUACCAUACACGGUGAGUGAAUGCUUUUUUGAUUUGGUAUCAUAACAAGAAAAGGGGAGAAGUGAAUUUGUCUUUAGGGCUUAUAAACCAAAACAAGGAGAGAAAGACUAAUUUAAGAACUUCUGUUCUCAUAAAAUGCCGCCUGCUUUUUUAAUGUUAAUUGUAUUUUGAGCAACGAUAGAUUUAAU
rnacentral:lncRNA from 1 species